GAGGUCGCGAGGCGCAGCUGGCCAAUCAGGGCGCCCUGGACUCCGGGAGGCCUGCGAGCCACGCGCACCGGAGCCCGCUCCCUUUCAGCAGCUCAUUAGGGGCCCGAGCGCUGGGGGCGGAUGGGGGGACCCGUGCUACCGCCCCCGCCUUCGUCCUCGCUGCCGCCGAGGCUCCCCCCGCCCGGCGCGCGCGCAGGCACCGCACCCGGCGCUGCCGGCCCUCCUAACUCCCGGGUGAUGGGAACUAGGAAUUAGUUAAUGGGGGUCAGAAUCCCGGGGAAAGCAGUUAGCCCUGUGGUGCUGCCGGGCGUCUCUUGGCAAAGCCUCUUAGGGGUUGUAUCAAAUAGUAAACGAUUUUAAAAUUGAUUCAUUUGGUUAGGGGAGGAGAAUGGCGUGGAUGGAGAGAUGUGGACACCUCGUGAACAAGGAGGUAACAAGGAGGAUUGGAAGGCACAAAGUAAAGAAAAUGAAAAUUAGAAACUUGUGAAAAGGAGCAUUACCCAUUGCAGUUCUUCAAACUUCAGACUUCCUUCUGUCUUGGAAUUAUUUGAAAACUAUCAUGAUUUCCACUUUGCUCUUUGAUGUUUGUGUUUUCAUAUUCUCCCUUUUUAAAGCAAAUUCCCAAAAUAUAAAAGCAUCAUUUGCCA